rnacentral:rRNA from 1 species
GAUGAACGCUGGCGGCGUGCCUAAUACAUGCAAGUCGAGCGAACAGACGAGGAGCUUGCUCCUCUGACGUUAGCGGCGGACGGGUGAGUAACACGUGGAUAACCUACCUAUAAGACUGGGAUAACUUCGGGAAACCGGAGCUAAUACCGGAUAAUAUAUUGAACCGCAUGGUUCAAUAGUGAAAGACGGUUUUGCUGUCACUUAUAGAUGGAUCCGCGCCGCAUUAGCUAGUUGGUAAGGUAACGGCUUACCAAGGCGACGAUGCGUAGCCGACCUGAGAGGGUGAUCGGCCACACUGGAACUGAGACACGGUCCAGACUCCUACGGGAGGCAGCAGUAGGGAAUCUUCCGCAAUGGGCGAAAGCCUGACGGAGCAACGCCGCGUGAGUGAUGAAGGUCUUCGGAUCGUAAAACUCUGUUAUUAGGGAAGAACAAAUGUGUAAGUAACUAUGCACGUCUUGACGGUGCCUAAUCAGAAAGCCACGGCUAACUACGUG